UCUCACUUAGAGGCGUUCAG
rnacentral:sRNA from 1 species